rnacentral:rRNA from 1 species
GAUGAACGCUAGCGGCAUGCCUAACACAUGCAAGUCGAACGAGACCUUCGGGUCUAGUGGCGCACGGGUGCGUAACGCGUGGGAACCUGCCUUGAGGUUCGGAAUAACAGUGAGAAAUUACUGCUAAUACCGGAUGAUGUCUUCGGACCAAGGUUUUAUCGCCUUUAGAUGGGCCCGCGUUGGAUUAGCUAGUUGGUGGGGUAAAGGCCUACCAAGGCGACGAUCCAUAGCUGGUCUUAGAGGAUGAUCAGCCACACUGGGACUGAGACACGGCCCAGACUCCUACGGGAGGCAGCGGUGGGGAAUAUUGGACAAUGGGCGCAAGCCUGAUCCAGCAAUGCCGCGUGAGUGAUGAAGGCCUUAGGGUUGUAAAGCUCUUUUACCCGGGAUGAUAAUGACAGUACCGGGAGAAUAAGCCCCGGCUAACUCCGUGCCAGCAGCCGCAGUAA